rnacentral:rRNA from 1 species
AACGAACGCUGGCGGCAUGCCUAACACAUGCAAGUCGAACGAACCCUUCGGGUCUUGUGUCGCCCGGGUGCGUCACGCGUGGGAUCCUUCACUUAGGGUCGGCCUAACUCCCCGACAGGGGUGCUAAUACCGGAUAAUAUCUUCGGACCAAAGAUUUAUCGACUUUGGUUGGGCCCGCGUUGAAUUAGCUAGUUCGUAGGGUAAUAGCCUACCACGGCGACGAUGCAUAAAUUGUCUGAGAGAAUGAUCAGCCACACUGGGACUGAGACACGGCCCAGACUCCUACGGGAGGCAGGAGUGGGGAAUAGUGGACAACGGGCGAAAGCAUGAUCCAGCAAGGACGCGUGAGCGAUGAAGGUCGGAGGGUUGUAAAGCGCUUGUACCCGGGAUGAUAAUGACAGUACCGGGAGAAUAAGCUCCGGCUAACUACGUG